rnacentral:rRNA from 1 species
ACGGGAGGCAGCAGUGGGGAAUAUUGCACAAUGGGGGAAACCCUGAUGCAGCGACGCCGCGUGAAGGAUGACGUAUUUCGGUAUGUAAACUUCUAUCAGCAAGGAAGAUGAUGACGGUACUUGACUAAGAAGCCCCGGCUAACUACGUGCCAGCAGCCGCGGUAAUACGUAGGGGGCAAGCGUUAUCCGGAUUUACUGGGUGUAAAGGGAGCGUAGGCGGCUAUGCAAGUCAGGUGUGAAAACCCGGGGCUCAACUCCGGGACUGCACUUGAAACUGCGAAGCUCGAGUACGGGAGAGGCAAGUGGAAUUCCUAGUGUAGCGGUGAAAUGCGUAGAUAUUAGGAAGAACACCAGUGGCGAAGGCGACUUGCUGGACCGCAACUGACGCUGAGGCUCGAAAGCGUGGGGAGCAAACAGGAUUAGAUACCCUGGUA